rnacentral:misc_RNA from 1 species
UCCUAGGUGGCGCGGCGGUCCUUUGUGUGCGUUUCGGCCCGUUCCUGAACGCACUGUCCCCGUUUAUAAAAAAAAAAAUAUUGUAGUGGUGACCGACUGUGUAGUGACGCCGGCGAUGGAUACUUGUUGACCAUGACACACGACGCGGCUGUCACAGUGGCCCAGACAUUGGGAAGAAGUCUAGUCAGCACCUUUUGUAGGUUCUAAGAAUUUCCCGUGCCCCCUGUCGCCACGAGCUCUGCUGGAAAGAUGCCGCAAGAAAGUUUGAAGAUGAUCAGCAACUCCAUAAGUCUGGGGCUCGGCCGUAGCCCACUGGGUCUCAACCAACAGGUCGCUGGUGGUUCGCGGUCAUCGGUGCUUCUGUCUCGCAUCGACUUUGAGCCGUGCGACGGCGGAGGCAAGCUCUCGGCGGAGGCACUGCGGGCGAAGUAUGCGCCACUCUCACCGUCACCGGUACACAACGGCCAGCUGAGCAAGAACAACUCCCUCCACAAGCUCGGAGGCGGCAAGCCGAUGGUGAACGGUGCCGCCAUGACGAACGGCGUGGGCGGCGGCGGAGACGGCAUGAACGGCGGUGGGAACAAGCUGGUGCGCCGGGACGAAGGGGGCGAGGAUGGCAUACCAGAGCCGCGGGUGCGUCUGCAUUCGCCGGACGCGAUCUGGCUCGACUGGCGGGAGCAGCGGCGCAUCGGCGCGGGCCUCAUCAACAUGGGCAACACGUGCUUCAUGAACACGGUCAUCCAGUGCCUGACCUACUGCCCGCCCCUGGCCAACUACCUUCUGCACCAGGAUGACCACUGCACCAAGUGCAAGACACUGAACUUCUGCAUGAUGUGUGAACUCCAGAGGCACAUGAAGCGGGCCCUGGAGAAGUCUGGAGACACCAUCAAGCCCCUGUACAUAUACCAGCGGCUCAAAGCCAUAGCAAAACACUUUCAGUUCGGACAACAGGAGGACGCCCAUGAGUUCCUCCGCUACGUCGUGGACAACCUUUGGAAGGCAGCAUUGGCCAAUUACGAGGGCGGUCUCAAGCUGGACCCUGCGAGCAAGGAAACCACAGUCGUGAAUGAGAUCUUUGGCGGGUAUCAUAGGAGUCAAGUGAUUUGCAUGAAAUGCAAGGAGAAGAGCAACACGUACGACCACUUCAUGGAUCUCAUCCUAGACAUCAAGAAUGCCUCCAGCCUGGAGACAGCCCUGGAGAAGUUUGUGGAGCCGGAGCUGUUACAGAACGACAACGCCUACAAGUGUCCCCGCUGCAACAUCAAGGUGAUGGCGCAGAAGCGGUUCACCGUCCACAGGGCGCCCAAUGUAGCCACCUUCCAGUUCAAAAGGUUUGACGCCAACCGGAUGUUUGGAGGCAAGAUCACGAAGCAUGUCAGCUACCCCGAGCACCUUGAGUUGCGGCCGUACAUGUCGGACAAGCAUGGUGAUCCGGUGACGUACCGUCUCAACGCCGUGCUGGUGCACCUGGGUGCCAGCUGCAACUCGGGACACUACUUCUGCUUCGUGCGAAACUCCAACGGCAACUGGUACUGCAUGGACGAUUCCCGGGUGCACCAAGUGAGCUUGGGGCACGUGCUAAACCAGCAGGCGUACGUCCUCUUUUACAUCCGGACGCCGCCGGAGUCGCAGGAGAACCACGUUGUCAAGAAGUCCAACUCCGUGGCCACCUUGUGUAGCCGGAACACCACUACCGAGCCACUCCGAAAUGGCCAACUCUCCGUGGCCACGGAGAGGAGCACCCCGCAGAGGCCGAAGCAGCCCCCGCCCAGGUCUCCCUCAUCGCCUGCGGCCGUAUCCGUGUCCGGAGCCACUGCUGCAGCCACUUCGUCAUCGUCGUCCUUGCCUAUCACGGCCCACCCGUCACCCCACAGGACGGCAGCUCCGUCGUCCUCAACCUCAACCCCACUUCCUGCUAAUCGUCCGAAGAUCACCUUUGGAAUCUGCACAUCGUCUUCGUCUACUGCAGUGUCUUCCUCUCCGUCAACGUCGCAGCGAAGUGUUGGGCCGCCGAAACUUCCUGCAUCAGUGAUACUUGCGAAGCCCGCGGAGAAGCCAGUUGAGAGGCCCGUGGAUAAGCCGCUCGCCCCGCUGGCACUGGGUGACAUGAGCCUGGUUCCCUAUGCGGGAGACUCAUCAGAUGCCUCGGACAGCGAGAGGACCGAUGGGACCGUCGAUCGGCGGAAAUGUCUGAUGCCACAGACGCAUGCUCCGGAGACCCCCAGGGCCAAGGGUUCAUCAACGUGGCAAGUAUCGGACGUUAACCUCCUCUCUCCAGCCGUCUCGGUGGAGUCGAGCACGACGAGCGUCAACUCCACGACGGACUGGAACGUGACGGACAAGGAGCGGCCCUACGAGGCGCGCAAGCCGGUCGCCGAGGAGUUUCCGGGCUGGACCGUGGAGCCGUCGUCGUCGGCAGCCACGGCACCUGAGGCAGGGGAGACAUCAUCGCUGCCGGGGAGUUCGAGGGACACGGGUUCGAAGCGUGUCGAAGAGGGAGAGCCAGGGAAGCCAGCCGCUGCCGCGGGGGUCGACGCCGCCGAGGACAAAGAACAGCAGCUGCGGCCCUUUCUUGGCGACGGACGCGUUGGCGUCGUCGAUACCCCCGAGACUCAACCUUCUGGUGACGGUGCGCGAGGCGGUGACGCGCUGUCUCCAGCGAGUGAACUUGCCGCGGGUGACGAUGGUGCGGCGGCGACAGUCGGCGAGCCCCCAGUGCGGCCUGUUGUGCCUCCGCCGAACUCGACGACGCCGGCUCCCGUCACCAACGGAUGUGUGAGGGCAGUGGCGGCCGACACGGACGACAGCAGUGAUUCGCAUGAGUGGGUUGAACGGACAAAGGAAACAUUAGCUGCCGAACGGCGCCACUCGGCAAGCAGCAAAGCCACAGUUCACCAGUGGGAUGCGCGGCCAAACAUGAAUGGCGCCAAGGAUGGUUCGUCGUCGUCAUAUUGGAACGGCAGCAAUGGCGUCAAGAAGCAGACGGACAUCGUUGGCUACCUCCAGAAUAACGGCUCCCGGCAGUACGGCUUCGCUGUGAACGGCUGGGGACGCGGCUCGGGAGGUGGCUACCACAACAGCUACGGCAACGACCGCGGUGGUGGCAACUUCUACCGGGACAAGCGGAAGUACUAUGACGACUACGAUAGCUACGACGAUGAGUAUGACAAGGGCAAGCAAAAACGCAAGAGCAAUGGCUUCAACCUGCACUCAGGGUCACACUACCGCAACGGCUCGAACCCUUUCCAGCAGGCGCAGAACUUCAGGAACCAGCAGGGCGGUGGCCACCGGUUCCACCAACAGCAGUUCCAGAGGUUCCAGAAAGGCCCACCGCCGUUCUACGCCCGGCACCACAACAGGCAGCACUCGAACUAUGGACCCCCCCGCCGGAAGCACCACUACAGCCGCACCCGAUAGCGAGACUGCGGGGAGGAGGGCAACAUGUGCGGUGCGAUUUCAAUCUAGACAAGCGAGGCCACGAGUGUGCCGACCUAGAAACAAAGAACUGCUGACAGCGUGGUUGACACUGAUUCCCUUGUCAGCCCUUGCAUCUCGACGCGGAACGCCUGCCUGUUUCAACUGUGGAAGGACGUGUCGAAGAAGUGCUCUCGGAGCCUCUGUGACUCUGAGGCAACAUCACCGUCUGGAAAGUGCGUUGACGUCUGGGACAUUCGUCGGAGCGUUGCCUCGCUAUCGGCGGGGACGACUUGCAAGCGGCUGGCUGGCUUGCCCAUGACGGACUUGCCUGCUCGCGUUACUGGCAGCCGAAAAGUCUUCACGAUGCAGGCGAGGACCGCUGGCUCGCUCGUCGUAGUGACAGGCCUUGACUGAAGUGUGGCGUUCCCACGACCGGGUGCGCUUACUUUCAUGGCCAGCUUGUGUUCCUUUUUUUUUUCUCUCUCUCGCUUGGUGAUCGUCCAGACAACCUACUAGUUUUCCAAGCUUCAAAGUCUUUUUGUGGUCCAGUCGUCAUCAUCGGCAUAGUGUCGUGGCACAAGUUAACGCGGUGUGAAAAAGGACAAGCUUUCUGCAAGCACCGUCGACCGAGCACUAUCACAACUAGCCCUGGACACAAAGCCUUUUCGUCACAGUUUGAAGCGGACUCGUCCGUAUGCCCCCAUUUUUUUCCCGAGAGCAGCAGUGGACGUACGUUGGGUAGAUGUUACUUGGCAGUGGUGUGUUUUUGUUUUAAGGAACCCUUCCCCUCUUUAUUUUAAUUUUCCCCCCAUGUUAAUUUGUGCCUGUUCUCGCACGCACUGUUUCUGUUCCCAUUUGCUUAGUUCGCUGAACAUUGUUCUCGGUUCGACCUGCAAGGAAGUGACGUCCCCGGGGUGGUGAAAUUUUUGUGGGAAGCUGUGCUUAAGGAAUGUGGUCGUGGUAGGAACUGUUUAAAAAGGUUGGCUUGUGGGGAAAGUGAAAAAAAAAAAAUCCUCAUUGUUUCAUUUUUUUUCUUCUUCCAAAUGCUUGGAUAUAAAGUUUGUAGGAGCUACCUACACUGACGAA